rnacentral:rRNA from 1 species
UACGUAGGGUGCAAGCGUUGUCCGGAAUUAUUGGGCGUAAAGAGCUCGUAGGCGGUCUGUCGCGUCUGCUGUGAAAACUCGGGGCUUAACCCCGGGCCUGCAGUGGGUACGGGCAGACUAGAGUGCGGUAGGGGAGACUGGAAUUCCUGGUGUAGCGGUGAAAUGCGCAGAUAUCAGGAGGAACACCGGUGGCGAAGGCGGGUCUCUGGGCCGUAACUGACGCUGAGGAGCGAAAGCGUGGGGGGCAAACAGG